GCUUCGGAUUCUGUGUCUCCCUCUCUCUCUGCUCCUCUCCUGCUUGUGCUCUCUCUCUCUCAGAAAUGAAUAAACAUUAAAAAAGAGAAAUAUACACAGCUUAAAUGAAUAAUAAUGUAAAACUCUACUAAGGGACAUAAAAAUGAUGCAAAUAAAAGGAAAAAACACAUCUUAUUUCUAGAUCAACAUGUAUUUUUUAAACUAAACAUUUCUUCCUGUAGGUUAUUCUGAAGAUGUGCUAGGAAUGUGAAAAAUGACUUAGGUUUUAGAAAUACAGAGUAAUUGAGAGUCUUACACAAGUUGGUUAAUUUACUGGUUAUUCCCCAGAAUUCCUCUGAUAUUUAAAACUGGCUGAACUGCUUAUCCACACUGUUUGUUUGUUUAUUAUGUUUGUUUAUUUUUCAGAGAGAGAAGGAGUGAGGGAGAGGCAGAGAGACAGAGAAUCCCUAGCGGCUUUGUCCACACUGUCAGCAUUGAGCCCAAUGCAGGGGCCAGCGCACACAAACCAUGAAAUCAUGACCUGAGCUGUGCUUACCUGACUGAGCCACUCUAGGUGCCCCUAUCUCAUAAUAUCUUAAAGGUUAUGUUUGAACUAGUAUUCAUCAAUUUGUUCUGAGCCUUUUUCAAGUCAAACCCAAUUUUCAAUCUAAUUGGAUCAAAGAGUAAAAAUUAUUUUAAAAAGAAAUGAGAAAAUAUUUCAAUGGAAUCUUGAUCUAUAGUACUGUGGCCAUAGUAAUGUCUCUUGUUGUUACUUGCUAGAGUUAUUGUUUUCUCUGUUUCUUGGGAUUUUUUUUAACAGAAAAGAUAGGGGGUUUCCUUCCACAGAAGAGGUGGGAAGAUAAUACCAGAGGCUGCAAAAUGGCAAUAUGAGGGUCAUAUCCAGCCUAAGAAAAAAAUAACAUUUUUUGAUCUAUCCAGGCCUUUAAAAAUCUUUUAGUUAGUUGCCAACAUUUGAAAAUCAGGAAAUUUGCAUAAAAAUAUGGAUUUCUGGAAUACUGGAUAUUUCCAUAGCCAGUGUAUGCCCAUGUUCAUUUUAACAAUGAAGCAAUAGUACUGCUGACAAUAAUAAAGAAAAUCAGAAAUUUUAGAAAGAAACUAUUUUAAGUCCAGCACACAUGUCAAUUCUGUGUAAUUUUGAAAAAUAAGAUUUUAUUUCUGGUUUAGAAAUCUAUUUCUAUUUCUAUUUUGAAUAUUACUUGGGGAAGAGGUACCAUCAUCUGUUUAGGAUUUGGGCCUCUGAAGGUCUUAUUCUGAGCUUUAUUUCCAGUUCUUUUCCAACAAUCAGAAAAUUUGGCCACACUGGGCAAAAAUCCCCAGUUGUUAGCCCCCACCAGAUGAGGCAUCCACAGUUCCAACCACUUUUUGGUUUUCUUAUACCCCUCUAGUCUACUUGCCCAGUCUACUCACUCAGGUUACUUGUCUGGUGUGUGUGUGACAUUUCAGUUGGGGGUCCCUGGCACAUACAAAGACCAAAAGAAUUUUUACUUACUCUUUCGACCUUUUACGUAAUCAGGAUCAACCAGGACUACACCAUCUGUGUAGAGAAGCAAAAACAGCACCCUGGUCAGGAAAAAUCCUUAGACUAUGAAACAGAAUCAAUCUCUGAAAUACUUCCUCCCAUUUUUCCCUUUAAUUGGCCUCAUCUUCUGCACGCCCCUCUUUUUGUCUUUCUUUUAGUCCCUGGCUCACAUUCCCCUUCUUCCAAGGAUCGUUCCCUUUUUGGACUCACUGACCAAUGGGAUCCACCAUGUCCACAUGGUCCACGAAGUCCCGUUUCCCCAGAAGGAGCAAGGCUUCCUGGGAUAGCUGGAGCACUCUUGAGCACCUUAAUUGAGAAGAAACUUGUCUGGAAGGGGGCUCAAGAGAGGCCUCCAUCCAGACAAGUAUGAGGAAAACUGGACUGGAUGAGGCUGGACAUCACCUAACACACACUCAGAUCCAUGGUCCUCUCAGCAGGAAGAGAAUAGAUCUGUUUGUAGUCUCCAAAAGAAUUAUCACCAGCUUCAUUUUGAUCAAGACUAUUUGCAUUUUCUAGUAGGAUUUAUUCCUGGGCUUCCAAGGUGGUUCAAUAUUUGCAAAUCAACCAACAUGAUCCACCACAUUAAGAAAAGAAAGGAUAAGAACCAUAUGAUCCUUUCAAUAGAUUCAGAAAAAGC